rnacentral:misc_RNA from 1 species
ACCAGUAUAAAUUCAUUUCGGAUAGUAUACAUAAUAAUAUGAAAGCCAGCACAUUCAUGUUACAUAGUUUUCCUGUAAUUUUUCCGCCAUGGUAUCUACAGAUGAAUAGCCUAUAAUAAGGUCAACCAAAAACGGGAGAAAGACAGUUGCAAAAUUACAUCCGCUAAGAAAGUACAGGAGGAAAUGAAAAAGCACAAAAUGAAAGUUACAAGAGUCAUGUUGAAGACAGAUCUCAAGCAAUGUCUGAUCUUAAAAUAUGCUAAAUAGAGUCAUGCUGUUUUCUCUCCUCUUGUAUAGAUUGGAAAAUUCGAGCAGCUGAUUCAGUAGCAGACAUGGGGUUGUGAGGCACUACCUUGAUCACUCUUCUUGGCUGGUCAUUCUCUUGAGGCAGCGAGGCUCCUUCUGGACCAGCAGGAGCCAUUGGGAACAGUGAAAGUGCAUUUCUUCCUUCAGCAGGUUGAACAAUCCCAACUCCUUGCGUCUUCUCACUGGGACUACUUGCUGUACUUCCCAGUAGCUCAGUGUCCUUUGAUGCCUGGAACUUCGUAACUUGUGGAAUGCUCUUCUGGGUUGGCACAUUACAUGAGCUUUGAUGUUGCAUAUUAAAGUUUGCUCCCCCUCCUGAUAACUGACCAGUUUGACCAUACAAACCAGAUCCUGCAAAGUAGUUCAUUUGUUCCACUGCUGAACAUGAGAUGCCUGGAUUCAUGACUGGCAUGCCAUAUGGAGGGAAGUAACAAUGAACACCUGGAGGAACAAAUGGUGAGGCCCCA